rnacentral:rRNA from 1 species
AGAAACUGGCGGCGUGCUAAUAUGCAAGUCGAGUGAACGGACGAGAAGCUUGCUUCUCUGAUGUUAGCGGCGGACGGGUGAGUAACACGUGGAUAACCUACCUAUAAGACUGGGACAACUUCGGGAAACCGGAGCUAAUACCGGAUAAUAUUUUGAACCGCAUGGUUCAAUAGUGAAAGACGGUCUUGCUGUCACUUAUAGAUGGAUCCGCGCUGCAUUAGCUAGUUGGUAAGGUAACGGCUUACCAAGGCAACGAUGCAUAGCCGACCUGAGAGGGUGAUCGGCCACACUGGAACUGAGGCACGGUCCAGACUCCUACGGGAGGCAGCAGUAGGGAAUCUUCCGCAAUGGGCGAAAGCCUGACGGAGCAACGCCGCGUGAGUGAUGAAGGUCUUCGGAUCGUAAAACUCUGUUAUUAGGGAAGAACAUAUGUGUAAGUAACUGUGCACAUCUUGACGGUACCUAAUCAGAAAGCCACGGCUAACUACGUGCCAGCAGCCGCGGUAAU